rnacentral:rRNA from 1 species
AUUGAACGCUGGCGGCAGGCUUAACACAUGCAAGUCGAGCGGAGAUGAGGUGCUUGCACCUUAUCUUAGCGGCGGACGGGUGAGUAAUGCUUAGGAAUCUGCCUAUUAGUGGGGGACAACAUUCCGAAAGGGAUGCUAAUACCGCAUACGUCCUACGGGAGAAAGCAGGGGAUCUUCGGACCUCGCGCUAAUAGAUGAGCCUAAGUCGGAUUAGCUAGUUGGUGGGGUAAAGGCCUACCAAGGCGACGAUCUGUAGCGGGUCUGAGAGGAUGAUCCGCCACACUGGGACUGAGACACGGCCCAGACUCCUACGGGAGGCAGCAGUGGGGAAUAUUGGACAAUGGGGGGAACCCUGAUCCAGCCAUGCCGCGUGUGUGAAGAAGGCCUUAUGGUUGUAAAGCACUUUAAGCGAGGAGGAGGCUACUGAGACUAAUACUCUUGGAUAGUGGACGUUACUCGCAGAAUAAGCACCGGCUAACUCUGUGCCAGCAGCCGCGGUAACAC